rnacentral:miRNA from 1 species
AUGAACAUUUCAGUUUUUCGAGUCACAAUUUCUUAUUACGGUAAUAAGAAAUUGUGACUCGAAAAACUGAAAUGUUCAU